UACAGAGGGUGCGAGCGUUAAUCGGAAUUACUGGGCGUAAAGCGCACGUAGUCGGCUUUGCAAGUCGGGUGUGAAAUCCCCGGGCUCAACCUGGGAACUGCAUCCGAGACUGCAUUGCUAGAGUAUGGGAGAGGGAAGCGGAAUUUCUGGUGUAGCAGUGAAAUGCGUAGAUAUCAGAAGGAACAUCAGUGGCGAAGGCGGCUUCCUUGGACCAAUACU
rnacentral:rRNA from 1 species